UCACAGCACAGUAGUAAACAGCAGAGUCUGUCACUGCAGCAGAGGAGAUCUGCAGUUUGACAUCAUCUCCUGACAGAUCUGGACUUUCUCUUCCUCCACACUGGGAGCAACAGUUUGUUCUAGCUGCAGAUGGGAUUUGUAUUUGAGGGAUCUUGUUCAACCUGAACUUCAACAAAGGUAACUGAGGUGGUGAAAAGAUGGAUCCCCUCUUCAAGGUUUGGAAACAUGAGAUGAUAAUGUUUUAUAAACCUAAUGAUGAGUGGAAAUCAUUGCAUCACUACUGUUGGUUUUUGUGAAUAUAUAAUAUAUAAUAUAUAUAUAUAUAUAAUAUAUAAACCUAGGGCUGCCCCAGCUUCACUUCUCUUCCCACCAACAACAGGAGGUCAAAGGUCUAGCUUCCAGCUCACCUUCUCAAGGAAAUCUCCUCGCCCUUCAAGCUCUACAAACUCCUUGUAGCGACGCGAUGUCCUGCAGGAAAACUUCAACAAGCAACGGAGCUUCACAGCUCAACAGAACCGCUAAGGCAGAAACCUCUCGACCAACCAGAGACUUCACCGAAUUGCUACUGAACAGCAACCUCUUUUCCUUGUCCCUCGGACUGGUAACAAUCUGGGCUUAAUAAUUAUUCUACGCUAAGCAAGACUGUUUAUUUGAUUCUGUGUGUGUUUAUAAUGUUAAUAUGUGUUUCUGAUAUUGUGUUCUAAGUUAUAUUAAAGCUAAUGUUAGAUAGGCCCUUCACAGACUUCCUUUGUAGGUCUCUCUGACUCUGGCAUUCUCUGGUUAAGAUCUACACAGACACGCAUAGCAUUUCACCUAGUUUAACAAUCCCCCUUGGCCGUAAAGCCACCUCAGAAGAAGGGGGGGGGGGGUGGGACUCUUAUUUUAGGGGAUUAAACCACCAUUUUGACAGCAUUCUAGAAAGGUGUGAGGUCAGCAAUUUUGGGAGGCCCCCAAAUUUACAUUCAUACAAACACUCAUAUACACCUCCUUGUUAGUUUGAUUGUUUAGUAAUUUGUGUUUUUAUACUUUAUUAUGUUCAUAAUAAAUGUUCUUCUUUCACAAA